UACAGAGGGGGCAAGCGUUAUUCGGAAUUAUUGGGCGUAAAGGGCGCGUAGGCGGUUUUUUAAGUCAGAUGUGUAAUCCCCGGGCUCAACCUGGGAACUGCAUCUGAGACUGGAAGGCUAGAGUACUGGAGAGGGUGGUGGAAUUCCUCGUGUAGCGGUGAAAUGCGUAGAGAUGGGGAGGAACACCAGUGGCGAAGGCGGCCACCUGGACAGUAACUGACGCUGAGGCGCGAAAGUGUGGGUAGCAAACAGGAUUAGAUACCCUGGUAGUCCACGCUGUAAACGAUGAACACUUGGUGUGGAGGGAGUUGACCCCUUCCGUGCCGGAGCUAACGCGUUAAGUGUUCCGCCUGGGGAGUACGGUCGCAAGGCUGAA
rnacentral:rRNA from 1 species